GACGAACGCUGGCGGCGUGCCUAAUACAUGCAAGUCGAGCGCAGGAAGUCAUCCGACCCCUUCGGGGGGACGUUGACGGAAUGAGCGGCGGACGGGUGAGUAACACGUAAAGAACCUGCCCUCAGGUCUGGGAUAACCACGAGAAAUCGGGGCUAAUACCGGAUGGGUCAUCGGACCGCAUGGUCCGAGGAUGAAAGGCGCUCCGGCGUCGCCUGGGGAUGGCUUUGCGGUGCAUUAGCUAGUUGGUGGGGUAAUGGCCCACCAAGGCGACGAUGCAUAGCCGACCUGAGAGGGUGAUCGGCCACACUGGGACUGAGACACGGCCCAGACUCCUACGGGAGGCAGCAGUAGGGAAUCUUCCACAAUGGACGAAAGUCUGAUGGAGCAACGCCGCGUGAACGAUGAAGGCCCUCGGGUCGUAAAGUUCUGUUGUAAGGGAAGAACAAGUGCCGCAGGCAAUGGCGGCACCUUGACGGUACCUGGCGAGAAAGCCACGGCUAACUACGUG
rnacentral:rRNA from 1 species